rnacentral:lncRNA from 1 species
AUGCCCCCAGCCCAGCAUCGCUGGCGCACUCGUGUGGCCCGGCACCGCCGCACCCCAAGGUCUGAGUCUCCGAAAGCAAAGCGCGGAGCACCGAUCAGCACCCGCUCCGGAAGUCGCUGGCCUCCCCGCCUCCUCUUUCUAUGCACACACGCCCACCCAGCUCCCCACCUCCAGGGGCGCCGCGGAAGAAUGAAGCCCUCGCCCGGGCGGAAAGCGCCUGGCUGGAAGCAUCCCUCUCCUGCCAGCAGCAGCCGUGCAGCCCCCGCGCCACCUCUCGGCGCCCGCAGUUCCCCGGACGCCACGGCCACCCUCUCUCCCCCCUCGAGCCAAGCUGUCCCCAGAGGCACAUUCCUGGCGACUCCCGCACGGUUACCCAGCCGACCCGGCGAGCGGCCGCCCGGGGGAGCAAGGGAGGGAAGGGAGCGGCCGAGGGAGGCGCGGCCGCCGGCUUCCAGUCUUCGCGCCCCGAACACAAAGCGCCCGGCCCGCGCCACCUGUUCCCAUCCGGCCCGCGGGGCUGGGGGAACCUCCUGGUGGCGACCCCACUUCUCCCCUCAGCCAAGUUUACCCUGCCUCGGCCUUCCCUGUUGUCUUGGGCGCUGCCCGGGCAAACCUCGUCGUGCCGCGGCCGCGAAAGCCAAAGCAGGCUGCGGGGCUCGGGAGGAGCGGAGAGUCGCGCGCGGCCACUCACCCGGGCGCCCGGGAGCUGCCCGGGUCCUUCCCGGGCGCUGUCGGAGGCCGACGGCCCCCACCAAGCCCCGAAAUGUGAGAAACAGAAAGGAUGUCUCCCUAUAAGGACUGCUGUACCUGCAAGCUCAGUCGUGUCUGACUUCGUGUGACCCCAUGGACUGUAGCCCACCAGGCUCCUCUGUCCAUGGGAUUUCCCAGGCAAGAAUACUGGAGUGGGUUGCAAUUUCCUUCUUCAGGGGAUCUUCCAGAUGCAGGGAUUGAGUCUUCUGAGUCUCCUGCAUUGGCAGGCGGAUUACUUUACCAUUGAACCUCCUGGGAAGUCCAUACAGACUGCUGGGAAUCCUUAAACAGAGAAAAGCUCCUAUUGGGAAAAUAUCUACCUUACUGCUGAGAGUUACUAAAACUGUUAUGUGAACACACUGAGAAUUCAGCUCCAUGUCAUUGUUCAAAUUUCCAGAUUUUCCAAAAUGAGAUGGUUUAAACUGUCUUUGUGCUAAGUCUCUUCAGUUGGGUCCGAUUCUGUGCGACACCAUGGACUGUAGCCUGCCAGCUGUCCAUGGGGAUUCUCCAGGCAAAAAUACUAGAGUGGGUUGUCAUUUCCUUCUCCAAAACUCUCUUUAGUUCAACAGAAAUUCUUGAGGUAAAAAAGAAUACUCCUCAGAUCUUAUGUGAGACCCUCCUCUUAAAGAACAUUUCAUAUAGUGACCCACAGAAAGGGCACACAUUUAUUAUGACAGAAUCAAGGGAAGAUUCCAAAUUGGGAGGCAUUAUCAAUCUAAGUGACGGGUUUCAGAAUUAACACAAAAGGAUCUUGAGAGGUGAGAAAUACAGGCAAAAAUAACAAAAAAACGUGAUUCAUUUUGGGAAAAUGCAAUUGAAUACAUCUGUUGGCAGGAGGGAUUAAAACACAGACUUGAGUGCUUGUGGAUGACUGCUUUAGGGGUAAUAUUUUCCCGCUAAAUAAAUAAAUAAGUUUUCCAAAGCAGUGAGGAGAACUGGCUCUGUUUGGUGACCAGCAUGUCUUCCCUACCCUAUUGGACAUGAGGAUCACAGUGAAUUUUCUAGAAUAUUAAAUAAAAGUACAGACUUGGGAGUUGCACAGUUGGAUCUAAUAUUAGUGGAACCAUUUAAUCCUAGCUGUGAAUGACCCUGACUGUAUCCUUUGCCUCUUAGGUUCAUGUCUGCACUAAUUUAGGCAAGCAUUUUAGACAGGGAAAUGUGCCAAAAUUCAGUGAAGAAGCUGAGUCCAAUUCUCCUCCAAGAAUAUGAAGUAGCUGUGGUGGCUUGAGUUUAAGAAAAUGUAGUAGAAGUUAACAGGGUGUAACAUCCUUCUAAGGCCGGGUCAUAAGGUUUUAGAGCUUCUGCCUAAUACUCUCUUAUUCUCUCUCUCGCUCUUUCUCUCUCUUCCUCUUGUUCUUUCCACACACUCCAGAAGCCUUCAGCUGCCAUGGUUACACUGGGGCUGCCAUGUGGAGGGACCAUGUGGAGAGAUCACAGAAAGAGAGAAGCCCAAAGAAGCCAGCUGUUCCAGCCCCACCCCCACUCUCGGCUAUUUGUGCCUUCACAGCCCCAAUUUUGGGAGCAGAAUAAAGGACUGUUACCAUUCUAAGUCAUUAUUUUGGGGUGGUUUAUCAUGAGGCAAUAGAUAACUUAUGUAAGAAAACUUAGCUCUUAACUUGUGCCAAAUGAUAAUCAGACUGAAUUAUCCUCUUGCUUAAUCUUCAAACAACUCUAAAUUAAUUGUUUUUUCCAUUUUAUAUUUAACCUUCUUAGUCUCAGUUUCAUCACCUGCAAAAUGGGAACAAUAAAUAGACCCUUGUGUUUUCCUCAGAGUUGCUGGAAGAUUCUAAAGAGAUGAUGCAUGAAACAAGGCUUUGUACAUUAUAAAAUACAUCAGAAUGUUGGUAUUAUAUCUUCUAACAUAUCCCAAGCAAGAAGAGUUCUUAGGGACAUCUCUUUCAAGAAGAUGACAAUACUACAAUCCUGAAAUUAUGAGAUUCAAUCUGGAAAGGACUUCCA